rnacentral:rRNA from 1 species
UACCUGGUUGAUCCUGCCAGUAGUCAUAUGCUUGUGCUCAAAGAUUAAGCCAUGCAUGUCUAAGUACAAGCCUCACUAAGGUGAAACCGCGAAUGGCUCAUUAAAUCACACCUAAUCUACUGGAUAGUUAACAGUUACUUGGAUAACUGCGGUAAUUCUGGAGCUAAUACAUGCACAAAGCCCCGAACUUACGUGAGGGGCGCUUUUAUUAGAUCAAAACCAAACGGCUUCGGCUGUACUCUUGGUGACUCUGAAUAACUUUGGGCUGAUCGUACGGCCUAGCGCCGACGACAUAUCCUUCGAAGGUGUGCCCUAUCAACUGUCGACUGUGGCAUAGACGCCCACAGUGGUUUUGACGGGUAACGGGGAAUCAGGGUUCGAUUCCGGAGAGGGAGCCUUAAAAACGGCUACCACAUCUAAGGAAGGCAGCAGGCACGCAAAUUACCCAAUGACCGAAGGUCGAGGUAGUGACAAAAAAUAACGAUACGGGACUCAUCUGAGGCCCCGUAAUCGGAAUGAGUACACUUUAAAACCGUCCCCGAGGAUCUAUUGGAGGGCAAGUCUGGUGCCAGCAGCCGCGGUAAUUCCAGCUCCAAUAGC